CAAUCAAACCGGGAGAUAGCUGGUUCUCCCCGAAAGCUAUUUAGGUAGCGCCUCGUGAAUUCAUCUCCGGGGGUAGAGCACUGUUUCGGCUAGGGGGCCAUCCCGGCUUACCAACCCGAUGCAAACUGCGAAUACCGGAGAAUGUUAUCACGGGAGACACACGGCGGGUGCUAACGUCCGUCGUGAAGAGGGAAACAACCCAGACCGCCAGCUAAGGUCCCAAAGUCAUGGUUAAGUGGGAAACGAUGUGGGAAGGCCCAGACAGCCAGGAUGUUGGCUUAGAAGCAGCCAUCAUUUAAAGAAAGCGUAAUAGCUCACUGGUCGAGUCGGCCUGCGCGGAAGAUGUAACGGGGCUAAACCAUGCACCGAAGCUGCGGCAGCGACGCUGAUGCGUUGUUGGGUAGGGGAGCGUUCUGUAAGCCUGCGAAGGUGU
rnacentral:rRNA from 1 species